rnacentral:rRNA from 1 species
UACGGAGGGGGUUAGCGUUGUUCGGAAUUACUGGGCGUAAAGCGCGCGUAGGCGGACCAGAAAGUUGGGGGUGAAAUCCCGGGGCUCAACCCCGGAACGGCCUCCAAAACUCCUGGUCUUGAGUUCGAGAGAGGUGAGUGGAAUUCCGAGUGUAGAGGUGAAAUUCGUAGAUAUUCGGAGGAACACCAGUGGCGAAGGCGGCUCACUAGCUCGAUACUGACGCUGAGGUGCGAAAGUGUGGGGAGCAAACAGG